rnacentral:lncRNA from 1 species
CAAAAUAUCAUGUAAUGUCAAAACGUAAACAUACUUAAACCUUGGUCUAUCAGUACUUGUACAGUAGAACUGGACAAGAAGCUGGUGUUACACAAUCACUGCACAACAGACUGUACAGAUCCCAUGCCAAAUUUGUUUAGCUUGGUUUGACAAAGCCGUAAUAAACCAAACCCAUCACUCAGUGAAACUUCUAAAUCGUAUGGAUUUGAAAGGGCCCCUGGGGGUGUAAGAGAACUCCAAGAUGUAUUCUGAUUUCACAGCCAGCUACAAAGGUUGCUUCUCCUAUCAAGCAUAUUAUGGGAAACACAGAACCAAACUCUUCAAUUUUGAAUUCAAAAUUUUCCUUCAGUUGGUCCCUCCAUUUCUACCAGUGUUUCCUUGAGCACCCUCCAAAGGCUCCGCUGUUGCAGACAGACUGGGUCUGCCGUGAUUCCCACCCCCGGUCCUC